GCCUUUGUUUCCGUCUCCUUCUCCUUUCCCUCCUCUUUUGUGUCGGGCCAGACUCAGCCCCAGAAACCAGCCACCCUGCCGCGUCCGACUGCCAGGGAUCCCUCACGCCGCGAGGUGGAGUCUCGCUCUGUCGCCCAGGCUGGAGUACAGUGGUGCGAUCUUGGCUCCCUGCAACUUCUGCCUCCCAGGUUCAAGCGAUUUUCCUGCCUCAGCUUCCUGAGUAGCUGGGACUACAGGAAGAGACACUAGAGAGACACUCAGCUGCAGUGAGAAUACACAGGCAUCUUCAAGUACCAGAGAUGUCUCCAAGAGCACCAGCAACCCCAGCUAUCUGGAUCUGAAGUGGAUAUGCUCAGAGACAUCCUGGCCCACCCCAAAGAAGAUGCUGCUGCACUCAGAAGACGCCAGAGCUAGCCACCACCCACACUGCAAGUCUGGAAGCUCUGCAAGGACCCAGCAAGGCAGCCUGCUCAGCGAAGGCUUUGUCUCCUGUGGCAGGAAGAGCAACAUUAAGAACAAGAACCCCGGGCUGGACUACCCCUGAGAUUUAAUGACCAGAGCUGAGACCCCCAAGACCACAAUGACUAUGGAGGGCUGUCAUUACCCUGCCUGACCCUCUAAUGCCUCUCAGUUCAAGGAGGCCACUGAGUGAAACUGAAGGCUGGUUUUCCUUGGAAGCCAGCGGCCCAUCCACCUGCUCCACUUCCCUGCCUCUUGCAGCCUCCGCUCAAACACUGUCGUGGCUUGGCAGCACUACAAGUAUUUCAGGGGCUGCCAAGCUGCUCUCCUGUUUCCUCUUCCUUGGGGCUGAUUGCAUCCCAUGAUGUGCCCAGGUUUUGAGAUGCUCCUCGUGAAUGAAAAUAGGACUGUCUGGUUCCUCCAUCCAUAGCAAGGGAGCCUAGACAGAAAUAACUUCUGUGCAUUUCUCCAGCUACAUUUAGGGAAAACUAGAAAAUACAGAAAUAUAUCAAGAAGAAAAAAAAUUUAAAAA
rnacentral:lncRNA from 1 species